GCCUACGGGGGGCAGCAGUGGGGGAUAUUGCACAAUGGGGGGAACCCUGAUGCAGCGACGCCGCGUGGGUGAAGAAGCGCCCCGGCGCGUAAAGCCCUGUCAGCAGGGAAGAAGAAGGACGGUACCUGACCAAGAAGCCCCGGCUAACUACGUGCCAGCAGCCGCGGUAAUACGUAGGGGGCAAGCGUUAUCCGGAUUUACUGGGUGUAAAGGGGGCGCGGGCGGCGAUGC
rnacentral:rRNA from 1 species